CCUACGGGAGGCAGCAGUGGGGAAUAUUGGGCAAUGGGCGCAAGCCUGACCCAGCAACGCCGCGUGAAGGAAGAAGGCUUUCGGGUUGUAAACUUCUUUUCUCAGGGACGAAGCAAGUGACGGUACCUGAGGAAUAAGCCACGGCUAACUACGUGCCAGCAGCCGCGGUAAUACGUAGGUGGCAAGCGUUAUCCGGAUUUACUGGGUGUAAAGGGCGUGUAGGCGGGACUGCAAGUCAGAUGUGAAAACCACGGGCUCAACCUGUGGCCUGCAUUUGAAAAUGUAGUUCUUGAGUACUGGAGAGGCAGACGGAAUUCCUAGUGUAGCGGUGAAAUGCGGAGAUAUUAGGAGGAACACCAGUGGCGAAGGCGGUCUGCUGGACAGCAACUGACGCUCAUGCACGAAAGCGUGGGUAUCGAACAGGAUUAGAUACCCGUGUAGUC
rnacentral:rRNA from 1 species